rnacentral:lncRNA from 1 species
UUCUUCAUCCUUCAAUAUGCGUUCUCGCAAAAUUAACUACGUACAAAACACGAUACCUUCACGGCGCAACAAAGCUCUGGCAAGGACUUUUUGUGAGCGAGAACGCUGACGGCGAGAUUCCGCGUUAUCCCGACGAACUGAAGGUCGCCGCCGCUGUCGUAAAUGGCGUAAACACCGGACUCGGACGGGAAGUUUCCGUCAGAAUCGGAGGAAACCGUCACCGACUCAGUCUCCGACAACUUCUGCAGCGCGGAGACGACGAGGCCGGGGCGGCGGCGCUUCGCCGGCGAUCUGUGCUUGAAGGAUGCGGAGUGGAAGAAAGCGGUGGGGUUGGGAAGGGAAUUGAAAGAAAGAGCGGGGGCAUUUCUGGAAUUAGAAAAAUUGGAAAGCAGUCGAAGAGAGUAAGGAGAGUGUGUUGGAGAUGAGAGGUUUAAAGCAGCCAUUUUUGCGAGCGUUCUGAUUUACAGAUGAAGUCUAGUCUCCGAUAUAUCAGGCGAAGUGCUGUCGCUUUUCUCCGGUGUUUAGUUAUCCGGUAUUGUGCAGUGAUUUCUAAAGUCGAAAAUUACAAAAAGUGACUCUUAUUUUCCUAAAAUUGCAUUAGUGUUGCAUGGAUUGCGCUGAAUCAUGGGCCUUUUCUUUGCACUAGUAACACUUACACCUCGCUAUUUAGGCCCAUAAGACAGAACUGGCUAAUAAGUAUUAACGCAAAAAUUGAUUUAUUUUAUUUUUUUCAAUAAUUGCAAUUAAAUAAACAAAUUUUCACUCUAUUCUGAAUUUGUAUAUAAAUUAAAAUAUAUACUUCUAAUUAUAUGAACUUUCAAUUGUUAUAACUUCUCACAUAAUUAUCAUUUUUUAUCGAAUUAAUAUCAUAACGAUAAAGAUGAAGAGAUAAAUUGAUGUCAUCAGUACUAACUAAGCGACCUAAACAUCUAACUUCAUCCUUUUAAAUACGUCAGGCGUAUAAGUCAUGUAGACAUUUCAUGCUUUCACCUAACCAGUUGUGUAGUAGAUUACUUUUUUGGGGAGGGGUUAAUUAUAGUUUAUAACUUGAAUUUCAACGGAUUUUAGUUUAUAGCCUCAAAUUUGAUUUAUUGUUUGCAUAGCCUCAAUUUUAAGAAAUUAUUUAAUUAUGACUAUAAUCAUACCAAAAUUAUAAUUGUUCUUUAUUAAAAAUUACACCUAAAAUAAUGAUCAAUCGUAAUUAUUUUACAUUGAAUGGUUUCCAACAGUAGGUAGUCUAUCAUCAUCGAUCACCGAUGUGGUCAAAAUUAAACUUGAAAAUUGGCUCACUUACACUAACUUUUAGGCAUGAUUCUGACCACGUCGGUGGUCCGAUGAUGAUAGAGCUACCUAUCGUUAAAAAUCUCAUUCACGUGUAUAAUAUAUUAAGUGUAAUCAUGACCAUAAUUAAAUAAUUUCUUAAAAUUUAAAUUAUAUCAAAAAUAAAUUAAAGUUAAGGCUAUAUAUAACCAUUAUAGUAUUACUAUUANAUUAAUCCCUACUCGAUAAAGCAAUAUCCCUCUCAAUUAAGCUUUAUACAGAAGUACAGAUUCUUCAUCCUUCAAUAUGCGUUCUACGCAAAAUUAACUACGUACAAAACACGAUACCUUCACGGCGCAACAAAGCUCUGGCAAGGACUUUUUGUGAGCGAGAACGCUGACGGCGAGAUUCCGCGUUAUCCCGACGAACUGAAGGUCGCCGCCGCUGUCGUAAAUGGCGUAAACACCGGACUCGGACGGGAAGUUUCCGUCAGAAUCGGAGGAAACCGUCACCGACUCAGUCUCCGACAACUUCUGCAGCGCGGAGACGACGAGGCCGGGGCGGCGGCGCUUCGCCGGCGAUC